rnacentral:rRNA from 1 species
GACGAACGCUGGCGGCGUGCUUAACACAUGCAAGUCGAACGGAAAGGCCCUGCUUUUGUGGGGUGCUCGAGUGGCGAACGGGUGAGUAGCACGUGAGUAACCUGCCCUUGACUUUGUGAUAACUUCACGAAACUGGGGCUAAUACCGGAUAGGAUCUCCUGCUGCAUGGGGGGGGUUGGAAAGUGUCGGCGGUUGGGGAUGGUCUCGCGGGUUAUGAGCCUGUUGGUGGGGUAGUGGCUGACCAAGGCUUUGACGGGUAGCCGGCCUUAGAGGGUGACCGGCCACAUUGGGACUGAGAUACGGCCCAGAAUCCUACGGGACGCAGCAGUGGGGAAUAUUGCACAAUGGGCGGAAGCCUGAUGCAGCAACGCCGCGUGCGGGAUGACGGCCUUCGGGUUAUAAACCGCUUUCGCCUGUGACGAAGCGUGAGUGACGGUAAUGGGUAAAGAAGCACCGGCUAACUACGUG